rnacentral:rRNA from 1 species
AUUGAACGCUGGCGGUAUGCUUAACACAUGCAAGUCGAACGGUAACAGGCCUUCGGGCGCUGACGAGUGGCGGACGGUGAGUAACGCGUAGGAAUCUGCCUCAUAGUGGGGGACAACGUGGGGAAACUCACGCUAAUACCGCAUACGCCCUACGGGGAAAGCGGGGGAUCUUCGGACCUCGCGCUAUGAGAUGAGCCUGCGUUAGAUUAGCUAGUUGGUAGGGUAAAGGCCUACCAAGGCGACGAUCUAUAGCUGGUCUGAGAGGACGAUCAGCCACACUGGGACUGAGACACGGCCCAGACUCCUACGGGAGGCAGCAGUGGGGAAUAUUGGACAAUGGGCGCAAGCCUGAUCCAGCAAUACCGCGUGUGUGAAGAAGGCCCUAGGGUUGUAAAGCACUUUCAAUUGGGAGGAAAACCUGCCGGUCAAUACCCGGCAGCUUGACAUUACCUUUAGAAGAAGCACCGGCUAACUCCGUGCCAGCAGCCGCGGU